GCGUAAGCGCACGCAGGCGGUCUGUCUAGUCGGAUGUGAAAUCCCCGGGCUCAACCUGGGAACUGCAUUCGAAACUGGCAGGCUAGAGUCUUGUAGAGGGGGGUAGAAUUCCAGGUGUAGCGGUGAAAUGCGUAGAGAUCUGGAGGAAUACCGGUGGCGAAGGCGGCCCCCUGGACAAAGACUGACGCUCAGGUGCGAAAGCGUGGGGAGCAAACAGGAUUAGAUACCCUGGUAGUCCACGCCGUAAACGAUGUCGACUUGGAGGUUGUGCCCUUGAGGCGUGGCUUCCGGAGCUAACGCGUUAAGUCGACCGCCUGGGGAGUACGGCCGCAAGGUUAAAACUCAAAUGAAUUGACGGGGGCCCGCACAAGCGGUGGAGCAUGUGGUUUAAUUCGAUGCAACGCGAAGAACCUUACCUACUCUUGACAUCCAGAGAACUUUCCAGAGAUGGAUUGGUGCCUUCGGGAACUCUGAGACAGGUGCUGCAUGGCUGUCGUCAGCUCGUGUUGUGAAAUGUUGGGUUAAGUCCCGCAACGAGCGCAACCCUUAUCCUUUGUUGCCAG
rnacentral:rRNA from 1 species